GACGAACGCUGGCGGCGUGCCUAAUACAUGCAGGUAGAACGCACAGUUUAUACCGUAGCUUGCUACACCAUAGACUGUGAGUUGCGAACGGGUGAGUAACGCGUAGGUAACCUGCCUGGUAGCGGGGGAUAACUAUUGGAAACGAUAGCUAAUACCGCAUAAUAUUAAUUAUUGCAUGAUAAUUAAUUGAAAGGUGCAAUUGCACCACUACCAGAUGGACCUGCGUUGUAUUAGCUAGUAGGUGAGGUAACGGCUCACCUAGGCGACGAUACAUAGCCGACCUGAGAGGGUGAUCGGCCACACUGGGACUGAGACACGGCCCAGACUCCUACGGGAGGCAGCAGUAGGGAAUCUUCGGCAAUGGACGAAAGUCUGACCGAGCAACGCCGCGUGAGUGAAGAAGGUUUUCGGAUCGUAAAGCUCUGUUGUAAGAGAAGAACGGGUGUGAGAGUGGAAAGUUCGCACUGUGACGGUAUCUUACCAGAAAGGGACGGCUAACUACGUG
rnacentral:rRNA from 1 species